CGUGGGCAAUAAAAAGGGAACAGGAGGGCAGAGAGGGGUACGAAUGUUUUUGGGUGCAGAGAGGGCAGUAGCAGCCACUUCCAGAAAGGGGAGGGGUGACACCAGGUUACCAUUUUGAUCUUUUGGUGCUUAAAUAGCCUUAGGUGGGAAAGGAAGGGAGCAGGGGAUUGAGAGAGAGUUCUUGUUUGCGUCUAUACCCUUGUUAUUACAUUUUGUGUGUGUUUUUUUUGUUUAUCCAGCUGAUUUUGUUCUAUCAAGUCUUGGAGAGUAUAUUGUCAUUAUUCUGUGAGUGUUUUAUUACUUGGUUUUGGUGCUGUAAUCUGGUGUUGGAAAGUAAUAGAAAAGGAAAGAGGUAGUGUCUUAACAUUUGUGGUAUCAGAGCAUCAUACCUGGGCAGAUCAUGUCAAUGACGAAGGCAACAGAUGAACGGUUGGAGGCGGUUGAGAUGGAAAUGAAAAGGCUGCCGAUGAUCGAGGAGAACAUAGCAUUACUAGCCAAAAGCAUCGCGGAAAUGAACUCUCAAAUCGAUAAGCAGGCGCAGCAGCAGCAAGUGAUACUGAAGUACAUUGAGGGAAUCGUUAAGGAUGAUUCUCCUGGACGAAGGACCGAAGAAGGGUCCACGAGCAAGGUCACCAUGGCCGAAGCAAUAUAUCCAGCGACUGCCGAAGAACCGAAGUUAGAAGUAAAAACAGAGGAGGAGCGACCAGUGGAUCGGAGCAAAUUUAAGAAAGUUGAAAUGCCAGUUUUCGACGGGACCGACCCUGACUCCUGGCUGUUCCGAGCAGACCGAUACUUCAAGAUACAUAACUUGACGGAUUCAGAGAAACUUACCGUGGCAGUGAUCAGUUUCGAUGGGCCGGCGUUGGACUGGUACCGAUCACAAGAAGAGAGGGAAGCUUUCACCGGUUGGGAUGACUUGAAACUCAAAAUGCUGGUGAGGUUCCGCGCGACCAGGGAAGGUACAUUGGUUGGUCGAUUCUUAACGAUCAAGCAGGAGUCCACUGUCGAGGAGUACCGGAACCGUUUCGAUAAACUACUGGCACCGGUGGCUUCCCUGCCUACGGUGGUGCUAGAGGAGACAUUCAUGAAUGGGUUAAAUCCAUGGUUGAAGUCGGAGGUAGAAACCCUGGAGCCCAUUGGGCUGGCCCAAAUGAUGAAGUUGGCCUUGAAGAUAGAAAACAGAGAGCUGGUCCGAAGGGAAUGCGGGCUGGUCAGCGCCUAUGACAGCAAAACCGGCCAUAAACAACAGCAGGCUAAGGGCCCCAUCGCAGCAGCCACGAAGGAGGGAACGGUCAGUGGAAGUUGGCCAAUGAGAACGAUAACACUGAGAGAGGUGGGUACGGGAGACAACCGUAGGGAAGGGCCGACAAAACGAUUAUCUGACGCCGAGUUCCAAGCCCGAAGGGAAAAGGGGUUAUGUUUCCGCUGUGGGGAGAAGUAUUUCGCAGGGCAUCGGUGCAAGACAAAGGAGCAUAAGGAGCUGCGAAUGCUUGUAGUCAAGGAAGGAGGGGAGGAACUGGAGAUUGUGGAGGAAGAGUUUUUUGAUGCCGAAACUGAGAUGAAACCAGUAGAAGUGCAGAACGUGGAGAAUAUAAACAUUGAACUGUCGAUCAACUCGGUGGUGGGGCUGAACAAUCCGGGAACCAUGAAAGUUAAAGGAAAGGUGGGAGAAGAAGAAGUGGUGAUUCUGAUUGAUUGUGGGGCGACCCACAACUUCAUCGCAGAGGACUUGGUAGCCAGGUUAGGAUUGACAUUGGAGGAGACCCCGAACUAUGGAGUAAUCCUGGGCUCAGGAACAGCCGUCAAAGGUAAGGGAAUGUGCCGAAGUGUUGAAGUGCAAUUGGAUGGCUGGAAGGUGACCGAUAGCUUCCUACCACUGCAGUUGGGGGGAGUUGACAUGAUCCUAGGAAUGCAGUGGCUUCAUUCGCUUGGGGUGACCGAAGUCGACUGGAAGAGGUUAGUGCUUACUUUUCAUCACCAGGGGAGGAAGGUUGUGAUACGAGGGGAUCCAAGUUUGGUCAAAACGAGGGUAAGUCUGAAGAAUCUAGUGAAAGCGUGGGGAGUUGACGAUCAGGGAUUCCUAGUUGAAUGCAGAACAUUAGAAUGCGGGAAGUUGGAAGAAGAACAGAAUCAGGAGCAGGGGAAGGUCAUCGCGGAGCCAAUAGCGACCCUGCUCAAGCAAUUUGCCCGCGUGUUUGAAUGGCCCGCGACCCUUCCACCCCAGCGCAGCAUUGAACACCACAUAUACCUGAAGAGUGGGACUGACCCAGUGAACGUACGACCAUAUCGAUACGCGCAUCAUCAGAAGGAAGAAAUGGAGAGAUUGGUGGAUGAGAUGCUAUCUUCAGGAAUCAUACGGCCGAGUAAGAGUCCAUACUCCAGCCCUGUACUGUUAGUGAGGAAGAAAGACGGGAGUUGGAGGUUCUGCGUAGAUUAUCGAGUGCUGAACAAUGUUACGAUACCGGACAAGUUCCCCAUACCAGUGAUAGAAGAAUUAUUUGACGAACUGAAGGGGGCUAACGUAUUCUCCAAGUUAGACCUCAAAGCCGGGUAUCACCAAAUUAGGAUGUGCCCUGAAGAUAUCGAGAAGACCGCGUUCAGAACUCACGAAGGGCACUAUGAGUUCUUGGUAAUGCCGUUCGGAUUGACGAAUGCCCCCUCUACAUUCCAGGCGCUGAUGAACCAAGUGUUCAAGCCAUACUUAAGAAGGUUUGUGCUGGUAUUUUUUGAUGAUAUCCUAAUCUACAGCCGAGGGAUGGAUGAACAUGUUCAGCACUUAGAAGUGGUGUUAGGGCUACUACAGGACAGAGAGUUAUAUGUGAAUAUGGAGAAGUGCAGUUUCGCCAAACCUCGGAUUAGUUACUUGGGACAUUUCAUCUCGGAACAAGGCUUGGAAGCAGAUCCAGAAAAGAUAAGGGCGGUGAGUGACUGGCCAACUCCAUCCAAUGUGAGGGAAGUUAGAGGCUUCCUUGGCCUGACUGGCUAUUACAGGCGUUUUGUUAAGAACUAUGGAGCCAUAGCAGCACCACUCACCCAGCUACUUAAGAAAGGAGCGUUCAAAUGGGAUGCGGAGGCCGAGGGUGCUUUUAGCAAGCUGAAAAAGGCCAUGAUGACUCUCCCUGUGCUCGCCAUGCCAGAUUUUAACCUACCCUUCGAAAUUGAAUCAGAUGCUUCAGGAGUAGGAGUGGGGGCUGUGCUGACUCAAUGCCGGAAGCCAGUGGCUUAUUUCAGUAAGACCCUAAGUAUGCGAGACAGAGCACGACCAGUUUACGAAAGAGAAUUACUUGCUGUAGUUCUUGCGGUCCAAAGAUGGAGACCUUACUUACUAGGGAGGAAAUUCACAGUGAAAACAGACCAAAGGUCGCUGAAGUUUUUAUUGGAACAACGGGUGGUGCAGCCUCAAUAUCAGAAGUGGGUAGCAAAGCUCCUCGGGUACUCGUUUGAAGUGGUUUACCAACCAGGGCUGGAAAAUAAAGCAGCAGAUGCGUUAUCCAGGGUAUCUCCAGCAGUACACCUGAAUCAAAUUACAGCUCCCCCGAUGAUAGACGUGGAAAUUAUUAAGGACGAAACAAGACUUGAUCCCGCGCUGCAAGAAAUCACCCGACUAAUCCAAGAAGGGAUGGAGAUACCCCACUACACCCUACAUCAAGGGGUGUUGAAAUUUAAGGGCCGGUUGGUGAUUCCAAGCAAGUCUACAUUGCUACCUACGAUACUACACACAUACCAUGACUCUGUGUUCGGAGGGCACUCAGGAUUCUUAAGAACCUAUAAACGGUUGACUGGAGAGAUCUACUGGAAGGGAAUGAAGAAGGACAUCAUGCGGUACUGUGAAGAAUGUGCAAUCUGCCAGCGUAAUAAGUCAUCGGCUUUAUCUCCAGCAGGGUUACUGAUGCCCUUAGAGAUUCCAGACGCAAUAUGGAGUGAUAUAUCCAUGGAUUUCAUAGAAGGACUGCCAAAAUCCAAGGGAUGGGAUGUGAUAUUCGUGGUGGUCGAUAGGCUGAGUAAAUAUGGGCAUUUUCUGUUGCUUAAGCAUCCGUUCUCGGCCAAGAUGGUGGCUGAAACAUUUGUUAAGGAGGUGGUCAGGCUUCACGGUUAUCCAAGAUCGAUAGUGUCUGACAGGGACAAGGUUUUCUUAAGCCAUUUCUGGAAGGAACUCUUCCGCUUGGCGGGAACUAAGCUGAACCGGAGCUCGUCCUAUCACCCCCAAUCAGAUGGUCAGACCGAGGUGGUGAAUAAGAGCAUUGAAACAUACCUGAGGUGUUUUUGUGGGGAAAAACCAAACGAGUGGAGCCAAUGGUUACAUUGGGCAGAAUAUUGGUAUAAUACAACCUAUCAUAGUUCCAUUGGAAUUACCCCUUUUCAAGCUGUGUAUGGACGCCUACCUCCUCCCUUGAUUUACUAUGGGGAUAUGGAGACACCUAAUUCAACACUAGACCAGCAGCUGAAAGACAGAGAUAUAACAUUGGGAGCCCUAAAGGAGCACUUGAAACUAGCCCAAGAAAGGAUGAAGAAACACGCCGAUAAUAAGAGACGGGAUGUAGAGUUCCAGGAAGGGGAUCUGGUAUUCCUCAAACUGCGGCCUUACAGGCAGACCUCCCUCAGAAAGAAAAGAAAUGAAAAGCUAUCACCAAAGUAUUUCGGGCCUUAUCGAGUCUUAGAAAGGAUCGGAAAGGUAGCAUAUAAACUGGAACUCCCAGCAGCUGCUGCUAUUCAUCCCGUGUUCCAUGUAUCACAAUUGAAGAAAGCUGUCGGAAGGGGAGAGACUGUACAACCACUGAAUCCGUAUAUGAACGCAAACCAUGAAUGGAUUACACGACCGGAAGAGGUAUAUAGCUAUCGCAAGAAUCCAGCAACGAAGGAGUGGGAAGCCCUGAUCAGUUGGAAGGGAUUGCCCCCACACGAGGCAACAUGGGAAAGCUGCACUGACAUGAAAUAUCAGUUUCCAGAUUUUCACCUUGAGGACAAGGUGGAUUUGGAAGAGGAGAGUGAUGCUAGGCCACCAAUCCUAUUUACAUACCAUAGGAAAAAUAAGAAGAAACAUGAAGCCAAUGAAAGAGAGACAAGUGGCAAGAAGGAUCAUGGCCAUGAGACCAACCCCGAGGUAACACGUGUUGAAGGGGAAGAAAGCAAGGAGGAGGGGGACCAGGAAGUGGGACCCACAGUUAGUUAGUCGUGGGCAAUAAAAAGGGAACAGGAGGGCAGAGAGGGGUACGAAUGUUUUUGGGUGCAGAGAGGGCAGUAGCAGCCACUUCCAGAAAGGGGAGGGGUGACACCAGGUUACCAUUUUGAUCUUUUGGUGCUUAAAUAGCCUUAGGUGGGAAAGGAAGGGAGCAGGGGAUUGAGAGAGAGUUCUUGUUUGCGUCUAUACCCUUGUUAUUACAUUUUGUGUGUUUUUUUUGUUUAUCCAGCUGAUUUUGUUCUAUCAAGUCUUGGAGAGUAUAUUGUCAUUAUUCUGUGAGUGUUUUAUUACUUGGUUUUGGUGCUGUAAUCUGGUGUUGGAAAGUAAUAGAAAAGGAAAGAGGUAGUGUCUUAACAGUGUAUUGCAUUCUCAUUACUGGGUUACCUUUUCCCAUUAUGUUUUGUUGUUUUGGGAACACGUAAUUUACCAGGACGGUCGGAUUAAUGCUCUGUAUUCAACACCAUCUAUAUAUACCGAUGCAAAACAUGCAGCAAAUGAAUCAUGGCCAUUGAAAACCGAUGAUUUUUUCCCGUAUGCUGAUCGUGAUCAUGCAUACUGGACCGGCUUCUUUACCAGUCGC